rnacentral:rRNA from 1 species
AGAGUUUGAUCCUGGCUCAGGACGAACGCUGGCGGCGUGCUUAACACAUGCAAGUCGAACGGAAAGGCCCUUCGGGGUACUCGAGUGGCGAACGGGUGAGUAACACGUGGGUGAUCUGCCCUGCACUCUGGGAUAAGCCUGGGAAACUGGGUCUAAUACCGGAUAGGACCGCAUGCUUCAUGGUGUGUGGUGCAAAGCUUUUGCGGUGUGGGAUGAGCCCGCGGCCUAUCAGCUUGUUGGUGGGGUAAUGGCCUACCAAGGCGACGACGGGUAGCCGGCCUGAGAGGGUGACCGGCCACACUGGGACUGAGAUACGGCCCAGACUCCUACGGGAGGCAGCAGUGGGGAAUAUUGCACAAUGGGCGCAAGCCUGAUGCAGCGACGCCGCGUGAGGGAUGACAGCCUUCGGGUUGUAAACCUCUUUCAAUAGGGACGAAGCGCAAGUGACGGUACCUAUAGAAGAAGCACCGGCCAACUACGUGCCAGCAGCCGCGGUAAUACGUAGGGUGCGAGCGUUGUCCGGAAUUACUGGGCGUAAAGAGCUCGUAGGUGGUUUGUCGCGUUGUUCGUGAAAACUCACAGCUUAACUGUGGGCGUGCGGGCGAUACGGGCAGACUAGAGUACUGCAGGGGAGACUGGAAUUCCUGGUGUAGCGGUGGAAUGCGCAGAUAUCAGGAGGAACACCGGUGGCGAAGGCGGGUCUCUGGGCAGUAACUGACGCUGAGGAGCGAAAGCGUGGGGAGCGAACAGGAUUAGAUACCCCGGUAGUCCAA